rnacentral:tRNA from 1 species
GUCAAUAUGUCCGAGUGGUUAAGGAGAUAGACUUGAAAUCUAUUGGGCUUUGCCUGCGCAGGUUCGAAUCCUGCUGUUAACG